rnacentral:rRNA from 1 species
UGGGGAAUAUUGGACAAUGGGCGAAAGCCUGAUCCAGCCAUGCCGCGUGUGUGAAGAAGGUCUUCGGAUUGUAAAGCACUUUAAGUUGGGAGGAAGGGCAGUAAGUUAAUACCUUGCUGUUUUGACGUUACCGACAGAAUAAGCACCGGCUAACUCUGUGCCAGCAGCCGCGGUAAUACAGAGGGUGCAAGCGUUAAUCGGAAUUACUGGGCGUAAAGCGCGCGUAGGUGGUUUGUUAAGUUGGAUGUGAAAGCCCCGGGCUCAACCUGGGAACUGCAUCCAAAACUGGCAAGCUAGAGUACGGUAGAGUGUGGUGGAAUUUCCUGUGUAGCGGUGAAAUGCGUAGAUAUAGGAAGGAACACCAGUGGCGAAGGCGACCACCUGGACUGAUACUGACACUGAGGUGCGAAAGCGUGGGGAGCAAACA